rnacentral:rRNA from 1 species
UUGAGAGGGUUCGGCCCUCAGCAGACUGCUCAGUAACACGUGGAUAAUCUACCCUUAGGUGGAGGAUAAUCUCGGGAAACUGAGGAUAAUACUCCAUAGAUCUAGGAGGCUGGAAUGCAUCUAGGUUAAAAGCUCCGGCGCCUAAGGAUGAAUCUGCGGACUAUCAGGUUGUAGUCAGGGUAAUGACCUGACUAGCCUAUGACGGAUACGGGUUGUGAGAGCAAUAACCCGGAGACGAUAUCUGAGACACGAUAUCGGGCCCUACGGGGCGCAGCAGGCGCGAAAACUUCACAAUGUGCGAAAGCACGAUGAGGGAAUCCCAAGUGCCAGCUCGUAAGAGUUGGCUGUUUCUUUGUCUAAAAAACAUAGAGAGUAAGAGCUGGGUAAGACGGGUGCCAGCCGCCGCGGUAAUACCUGCAGCUCAAGUGGUGAUCGUUAUUAUUGGGCCUAAAACGUUCGUAGCCGGUUUAGUAAAUGCCUGGGUAAAUCGUGUAGCUUAACUAUACGAAUUCCGGGUAGACUGCUAAACUUGAGAUCGGGAGAGGCUAGAGGUACUCCUGGGGUAGAGGUGAAAUUCUGUAAUCCUAGGGGGACCAUCAGUGGCGAAGGCGUCUAGCUAGAACGUGUCUGACGGUGAGGAACGAAGCCCUGGGGCGCGAACCGGAUUAGAUACCCGGGUAGUCCAGGGUGUAAACGCUGCUCGCUUGAUGUUAGUUGGGCUCCGAGCCCAACUAGUGU